UCCCAGACUCCUACGGGAGGCAGCAGUGGGGAAUAUUGGGCAAUGGGCGCAAGCCUGACCCAGCGACGCCGCGUGAGGGAAGACGGUCUUCGGAUUGUAAACCUCUUUCAGCAGGGAAGACAAAAGGACGGUACCUGCAGAAGAAGCCACGGCUAACUACGUGCCAGCAGCCGCGGUAAUACGUAGGGGGCAAGCGUUAUCCGGAUUUACUGGGUGUAAAGGGAGCGCAGACGGCAGUGCAAGUCUGGAGUGAAAGCCCGGGGCCCAACCCCGGAACUGCUCUGGAAACUGUGCGGCUAGAGUACUGGAGGGGCAGGCGGAAUUCCUAGUGUAGCGGUGAAAUGCGUAGAUAUUAGGAGGAACACCAGUGGCGAAGGCGGCCUGCUGGACGAUGACUGACGUUGAGGCUCGAAAGCGUGGGGAGCAAACAGGAUUAGAUACCCGAGUA
rnacentral:rRNA from 1 species